rnacentral:rRNA from 1 species
CCAAUAGCGUAUAUUAAAGUUGUUGCAGUUAAAAAGCUCGUAGUUGAAUUUCGGGAUCAAUAUGUUGGUCGUGCCUUGGUACGUACUAGUUUAUUGGUUUCUUCCUUCUGACGAACCAUGAUGUCAUUAAUUUGGUGUCAUGGGGAAUCAGGACUGUUACUUUGAAAAAAUUAGAGUGUUUAAAGCAGGCUCACGCUUGAAUACAUUAGCAUGGAAUAAUGAAAUAGGACGUUUGAUUCUAUUUUGUUGGUUUCUAGGAUCGACGUAAUGAUUAAUAGGGAUAGUUGGGGGCAUUAGUAUUCAAUUGUCAGAGGUGAAAUUCUUGGAUUUAUUGAAGACUAACUACUGCGAAAGCAUUUGCCAAGGAUGUUUUCAUUAAUCAAGAACGAAAGUUAGGGGAUCGAAGACGAUCAGAUACCGUCGUAGUCUUAACCAUAAACUAUGCCGACUAGGGAUCGGAUGAUGUUAAUUUUUUAAUGACUCAUUCGGCGCCUUACG